UCUGACAGCACGUUACCACGGUGAUACAUGGAGAUGAAACACAUGAGAACUAUGAGGCAACGCUAUGCUCUGAAACAUGGGAUACUCAAGGAGUUCCUGGCUGAGUUCCUGGGGACAUUUAUCUUGGUUUUGUUUGGCGUCGGGUCUGUUGCUCAGACGGUCCUGAGUCGUAAUGCGAUGGGGGAGACGCUCACCAUCCACAUAGGCUUCUCUGUAGGACUGAUGAUGGCAGUGUACGUUGCCGGAGGAGUGUCAGGUGCCCAUGUGAACCCUGCUGUCUCCCUGGCCAUGGUGAUCCUGGGCAAACUCAAGUUCUAUAAGUUCCCCGUCUAUGUCGUGGCCCAGUUCCUUGGUGCUUUCGCUGGAGCUGCUGCAGUGUUUGGGCUUUAUUACGAUGUGUUCAUGGACUUCACCAAUGGGAUUUUAUCAGUGACUGGUAUUAACGCCACCGGUCACAUCUUUGCCUCCUACCCUGUCAGGUGCCUGACCAUCCUUGGAGGCCUCAUAGACCAGGUAGUGGGAACAGGCAUGCUGGUGCUGUGUAUCCUGGCCAUCAUCGAUGGGAAGAACUUCGGCGCCCCUAGGGGCAUGGAGCCACUGUGCAUCGGCCUGGUCAUCAUGGCUAUCGGGGUGUCCAUGGGGCUGAACUGUGGGUAUCCCCUCAACCCUGCCAGGGACCUGGGGCCACGGGUCUUCACUGCUGUAGCAGGCUGGGGCUGGGAGGUGUUCAGCACGGCAGACUACUGGUGGUGGGUCCCCGUGGCGGGGCCGAUGCUAGGGGGCGUGGUCGGGGCCCUGGUCUACUUCCUGUUUAUCGAGAUGCAUCACAAACAGCCGGAGAAACCCCACAAGGAGGAAGAGGAGGAUGAGGAAGAGGAGGAUGAAGACCUGGAGGAGGACAGCAGUCUCAAAGACAAAUACGAGAUGAUUACCAUGAGUUAGAGAGAUCCAUUCAGUUACAAGGGCUAUAAAAACAAAUGUCUGGGUCAGAUCACUGGUACUGUAACGUCAAUCAGGAGAGUAAUGCCAUGUGGGGAGACACACACACACACACACACACACACACACACACACACAUACACACAUACACACAGAUCAAGGACAGGCUUGCUCUCUCAGUGUGAUAUGGUGAAACCCUGUGGUAGAGUGAGUUGAAGGGUUAUAGCCUUUUAUUACAUGUCAUAGCCUUUAGUAACGAGACCUGUUUGCUACAUAUGAGUGACUGAUCACAGUGCAAGGCCUUUUAGCCCGCUGCUGAUUGGGGCUCCGAUAGUUAAGCUACACAGAGAAACAGUGUAGAACAGGUUAUUGAAUAGAUGUCGUCUGGAGAAACAGUGUAGAACAGGUUAUUGAAUAGAUGUCGUCUGGAGAAACAGUGUAGAACAGGUUAUUGAAUAGAUGUCGUCUGGAGAAACACUAUAGAACAGGUUAUUGAAUAGAUGUCGUCUGGAGAAACAGUGUAGAACAGGUUAUUGAAUAGAUGUCGUCUGGAGAAACAGUGUAGAACAGGUUAUUGAAUAGAUGUCGUCUGGAGAAACAGUGUAGAACAGGUUAUUGAAUAGAUGUCGUCUGGAGAAACAGUGUAGAACAGGUUAUUGAAUAGAUGUCGUCUGGAGAAACAGUGUAGAACAGGUUAUUGAAUAGAUGUCGUCUGGAGAAACAGUGUAGAACAGGUUAUUGAAUAGAUGUCGUCUGGAGAAACAGUGUAGAACAGGUUAUUGAAUAGAUGUCGUCUGGAGAAACAGUGUAGAACAGGUUAUUGAAUAGAUGUCGUCUGGAGAAACAGUGUAGAACAGGUUAUUGAAUAGAUGUCGUCUGGAGAAACAGUGUAGAACAGGUUAUUGAAUAGAUGUCGUCUGGAGAAACAGUGUAGAACAGGUUAUUGAAUAGAUGUCGUCUGGAGAAACAGUGUAGAACAGGUUAUUGAAUAGAUGUCGUCUGGAGAAACAGUGUAGAACAGGUUAUUGAAUAGAUGUCGUCUGGAGAAACAGUGUAGAACAGGUUAUUGAAUAGAUGUCGUCUGGAGAAACAGUGUAGAACAGGUUAUUGAAUAGAUGUCGUCUGGAGAAACAGUGUAGAACAGGUUAUUGAAUAGAUGUCGUCUGGAGAAACAGUGUAGAACAGGUUAUUGAAUAGUUGUCGUCUGGAGAAACAGUGUAGAACAGGUUAUUGAAUAGAUGUCGUCUGGAGAAACACUAUAGAACAGGUUAUUGAAUAGAUGUCGUCUGGAGAAACAGUGUAGAACAGGUUAUUGAAUAGAUGUAAGCUGGAGAAACACUAUAGAACAGGUUAUUGAAUAGAUGUCGUCUGGAGAAACAGUGUAGAACAGGUUAUUGAAUAGAUGUCGUCUGGAGAAACAGUGUAGAACAGGUUAUUGAAUAGAUGUAAGCUGGAGAAACACUAUAGAACAGGUUAUUGAAUAGAUGUCGUCUGGAGAAACACUGUAGAACAGGUUAUUGAAUAGAUGUCGUCUGGAGAAACAGUGUAGAACAGGUUAUUGAAUAGAUGUCGUCUGGAGAAACAGUGUAGAACAGGUUAUUGAAUAGAUGUCGUCUGGAGAAACACUAUAGAACAGGUUAUUGAAUAGAUGUCGUCUGGAGAAACAGUGUAGAACAGGUUAUUGAAUAGAUGUAAGCUGGAGAAACACUAUAGAACAGGUUAUUGAAUAGAUGUCGUCUGGAGAAACACUGUAGAACAGGUUAUUGAAUAGAUGUCGUCUGGAGAAACAGUGUAGAACAGGUUAUUGAAUAGAUGUCGUCUGGAGAAACAGUGUAGAACAGGUUAUUGAAUAGAUGUCGUCUGGAGAAACAGUGUAGAACAGGUUAUUGAAUAGAUGUCGUCUGGAGAAACAGUGUAGAACAGGUUAUUGAAUAGAUGUCGUCUGGAGAAACAGUGUAGAACAGGUUAUUGAAUAGUUGUCGUCUGGAGAAACAGUGUAGAACAGGUUAUUGAAUAGAUGUCGUCUGGAGAAACAGUGUAGAACAGGUUAUUGAAUAGAUGUCGUCUGGAGAAACAGUGUAGAACAGGUUAUUGAAUAGUUGUCGUCUGGAGAAACAGUGUAGAACAGGUUAUUGAAUAGAUGUCGUCUGGAGAAACAGUGUAGAACAGGUUAUUGAAUAGAUGUCGUCUGGAGAAACAGUGUAGAACAGGUUAUUGAAUAGUUGUCGUCUGGAGAAACAGUGUAGAACAGGUUAUUGAAUAGAUGUCGUCUGGAGAAACAGUGUAGAACAGGUUAUUGAAUAGAUGUAAGCUGGAGAAACACUAUAGAACAGGUUAUUGAAUAGAUGUCGUCUGGAGAAACAGUGUAGAACAGGUUAUUGAAUAGAUGUCGUCUGGAGAAACACUGUAGAACAGGUUAUUGAAUAGUUGUCGUCUGGAGAAACACUAUAGAACAGGUUAUUGAAUAGAUGUCGUCUGGAGAAACAGUGUAGAACAGGUUAUUGAAUAGAUGUCGUCUGGAGAAACAGUGUAGAACAGGUUAUUGAAUAGUUGUCGUCUGGAGAAACACUAUAGAACAGGUUAUUGAAUAGAUGUCGUCUGGAGAAACAGUGUAGAACAGGUUAUUGAAUAGAUGUCGUCUGGAGAAACACUGUAGAACAGGUUAUUGAAUAGUUGUCGUCUGGAGAAACACUAUAGAACAGGUUAUUGAAUAGAUGUCGUCUGGAGAAACAGUGUAGAACAGGUUAUUGAAUAGUUGUCGUCUGGAGAAACACUAUAGAACAGGUUAUUGAAUAGAUGUCGUCUGGAGAAACAGUGUAGAACAGGUUAUUGAAUAGAUGUCAUCUGGAGAAACAGUGUAGAACAGGUUAUUGAAUAGUUGUCGUCUGGAGAAACACUAUAGAACAGGUUAUUGAAUAGAUGUCGUCUGGAGAAACAGUGUAGAACAGGUUAUUGAAUAGAUGUAAACUGGAGAAACACUGAACAGGUUAUUGAAUAGUAGCCCACGGUUCAUCCAGUAACUUGUUUCUAGCUAAAGAUACAGAAUGGUUAGUUCUUAAUGAUGUGUUAUACAGUGUGCAGCAAUCCGUAACAAGAUUGGAAAAGAGCCCUUGUUAUAUUAUGUAUGUAAUAUUCCAUUUGGACUAUACCGCUGUCAGUUUGAUAUAAAUUAUAAUUUGUUUCAAAUAAGAGGUUCAUGCAAACAAUUAACCCAGGCACAUAUUAUGUUAUUUGGUUGUUGUAGUAAUGUUUGUAGCUUCAAGAGGCUUAGAUUGAUCACAAUUCUGACCAUACACUUCAUACUCUGCACAUUGAAAGAUACCAUUUAUGUAUUCAAGGAAAACUGGAGAAAUUCCUAAACCUAACGACUGUUAGGAUUUACCAUUCAUGAAUUGCAUGUAUGGCGGUUAAAAAGUUUGUCGCCAUUGUAUAAUUAAGCAAUAAGGCCCGAGGGGGUGUGGUAUAUGGGCAAUAUACCACGGCUAAGGG